AACGUAGACAGCUGCAGUAGCUGUGAGAGAAGUGUGUCCAUGAUGACGUCACGCACAGAAGCUGUUCGUAGCAAAACUAUUAAGUUGCUCUACAUUAUAUUUAUGUACCUUUGUCUCGACCAAUAUUUUUAGGUAAUCUACAAAAGAAAAUUCCCUGAAUACGACUAUCAGUAUACAGUCGGCUGUGGAGAAACAAAUACAUAAAUCUGUGUUCUUAACUUCAAAAUACUAUAUAAUCCCGACUGCAGUACGUAGUUUUCAUUUCAAAAUGAAGCAGUUCGUGUUUUGUUUGAGUAUUUUUAUCUUCAUUAUAUUCUUGGCUAACAGAGAAGUAAUGGCCCAAAGUAAUGAGGGAGAAAUACAAGGAACUCGUCCUAAGGAACAUCUCCUACAAUCAUCUCCUGUCAAUGUUGUUAUACCAGGUCCUAUUUUGUCAGCUGCUGAUGAGGUUGAAAGAAUAAGUAAUGGUAAACGCUAAAUACCACUUCCCAUAUCUAACCAAAGAAGAAGAAAACAACUCGCAGUUGCCUGAAUCUUGUGAUGGUUAAUAAAUAAUUGUUUUGCUGAAUAUGUGUUUGCUUAUUGCUUUAGUCGAUCAGAUCGGAAGAGC
rnacentral:lncRNA from 1 species